rnacentral:rRNA from 1 species
UAAAACGACUCUCGGCAACGGAUAUCUAGGCUCUCGCAUCGAUGAAGAACGUAGCAAACUGCGAUACUUGGUGUGAAUUGCAGAAUCCCGUGAACCAUCGAGUUUUUGAACGCAAGUUGCGCCCGAAGCCAUUAGGCCGAGGGCACGUCUGCCUGGGCG